CAUAAUUAGUGCAGGUUAAGGAAAGUAAUUAAAAGUAAAUUCAUGGGGGGGCGUGGUUUGGCCGCGAGGGAAGAUGGCUGCCUAAGAGGAGAGCUCCGUCCCACACAGCUCCUACAGCCGGCUACCACCGCAGCACAGCGUGCUAAUGGGGCGCACAAAACGCCCGGAGGGCACACAAACACCCAGGGCUCACCCAAGCAGCUCACAGACGGGACCCAAGGAUGGGUAUCUUGCCCCUUCGACGGCCGAGCACCACGAGGUGGCGGGCGCAAGCAUGGCCGACUCCCCGACCCGCCCUCUCACCUCUGAUCAGGAAGGGCCCUCAUUAACAGAUAUCAGGGCGGACAUUAGAGCCCUGGCAGCGGCAAUGGUGACCAAAAACGAUCUGCAGAUCCUGUCUGAC